GAAAAGUAGUGUCGAAGCAAUGUCAUUAAAAGAGUCGGCUAGCACCAGAAAUACGUCGGAUAAUCGUUCAUCAUCAAGGGACGCUUCUGAUAGCGUCGUGGUUAUAAAACUUUGCAUCGUCGCCGUAGUUUAGCGUAUUAAGCUGCGGACCUGGGUGAAAAUACAGUUGCAAUAAAUUCAGAUGCGGAAGGAAUAAUGCAACAGACGUAAAAGAAAAAAAUGGCGAAACAAUGCCAUUAAAUUAGAGGUGCACUUGUCAAAGUUGCCAAAUUGUGUUACUUAAUGGUGCAUUGGAGUAUUGUUGCUGUAAAGAAAUGACACCAGUGAUAAGAAUGAUGACUUUUGAUGGCAGCAUUGAACACAUCAAUUGUAUCGCUGAACAUGAUCUUGGACCCAUCACUUUCCAAACAGUCUUGGAUGUUGGCCCAUUUCUGAAGGACAGGAAUGGACAACUUUAUCCAUGGUAUGGAUUACAUAUUGGAAUCAGUGAUCACAAACUUGGAAAUUAAAUGAUCUUUUGCCACCUUCAUAUUCCAUAGCAUUACUGCUUCCAAAUUAAUUAGCCCAAACCAGUAAUUAGGGAACAAAUUUUCCAAUAUCAGACAUAAUAAACAACACAGUCACGUCAAGCACAGAAUAACUUAGAUAAAUGGAAUUGACAUGAAAGUAUGCAGUAAUAUUGUACUAUAACUGAAUGAAUUCGAA